UCAGAGAGUUUGAUCCUGGCUUAGGAUGAACGCUGGCGGCGUGCCUAAUACAUGCAAGUCGAACGAGAGUGCUUGCACUCGAGUGGCGAACGGGUGAGUAACACGUAGGUAACCUGCCUUACAGUUUGGGAUACCCGAGGGAAACCUUGGCUAAUACCGGAUAAUCUUUUGGAGGCAUCUCCAGAAGCUAAAAGGGGCCUUUAAAGCCUCGCUGAAUGAUGGACCUGCGGCGCAUUAGCUAGUGGUGAGAUAACAGCCCACCAAGGCGAGGAUGCGUAGCCGACCUAAGAGGGUGAACGGCCACACUGGAACUGAGACACGGUCCAGACUCCUACGGGAGGCAGCAGUAGGGAGUUUUCGGCAAUGGGGGAAACCCUGACCGAGCAACGCCGCGUGAACGAUGAAGGUCUUCGGAUUGUAAAGUUCUGUUAUAAGGGAAGAAUGAUAGCUUGAGGAAAUGCUAGUUAUUUGACGGUACCUUAUUAGAAGGCCACGGCUAACUACGUGCCAGCCGCUGC
rnacentral:rRNA from 1 species